rnacentral:rRNA from 1 species
GACGAACGCUGGCGGCGUGCCUAAUACAUGCAAGUAGAACGCAGUUGCGAACGGGUGAGUAACGCGUAGGUAACUGCCUCAUAGCGGGGGAUAACUAUUGGAAACGAUAGAUAAUACCGCAUACUGUGAGCUGGACCUGAGUUGUAUUAGCUAGUUGGUGAGGUAAAGGCUCAACAAGGCGACGAUACAUAGCAGGCCUGAGAGGGUGGACGGCCACCAUUGGAAUUGGACACGGGCCAGACCCCUACGGGAGGCAGCCGGAGGGAAGCUUCGGCAAUUGAGGGAAGUCUUACCGAGCAACGCCGCGGGAGUGAAGAAGGUUUUCGGAUCGUAAAGCUCUGUUGUUAGAGAAGCGGUAACUAACGAGAAAGGAACGGCUAACUACGUGCCAGCAGCCGCGGUAAUAC